AUGGUUUAAAACUCUAAUGCUAGCUGAAUGGAAAAAGUUCAGUUUAGGGUUUAAAACCCUAAUGUUGACUAAAGGAAAAGUUCAGUUUAGGGUUUAAAACCCUAAUGCUGACUAAAAGGAAAAAUUCAGUUUAGAGUUUAAAACCCUAAUGCUGACUGCAUGGAAAAGCUUAGUUUAGGGUUUAAAACCCUAAUGCUAGCUGAAUGGAAAAAGUUCAGUUUAGGGUUUAAAACCCUAAUGCUGGCUGAAGGGAAAAAGUUCAGUUUAGGGUUUAAAACCCUAAUGCUAACUAAAGGGAAAAUUCAGUUUAGGGUUUAAAACCCUAAUGCUGAUAUCAUGGAAAAGCUCAGUUUAAGGUUUAAAACCCUAAUGCUGGCUGAAUGGAUAAAAGUUUAGUUUAGGGUUUAGAACCCUAAUGCUAACUGAAGGAAAAAUUCAGUUUAGGGUUUAAAACCCUAAUGCUGACUGCAUGGAAAAGCUCAGUUUAGGGUUUAAAACCCUAAUGCUGGCUGAAUGGAAAAAGCUCAGUUUACGGUUUAAAACCCUAAUGCUGGCUGAAGGGAAAAAGUUCAGUUUAGGGUUUAAAACCCUAAUGCUAACUAAAGGGAAAAUUCAGUUUAGGGUUUAAAACCCUAAUGCUGAUAUCAUGGAAAAGCUCAGUUUAAGGUUUAAAACCCUAAUGCUGGCUGAAUGGAAAAAAGUUUAGUUUAGGGUUUAGAACCCUAAUGCUAACUGAAGGGAAAAUUCAGUUUAGGGUUUAAAACCCUAAUGCCAAUUGCAUAGAAAAGUUUAGUUUAGGGUUUAAAACCCUAAUGCUGGCUGAAAGGAAAAAAGUUCAGUUUAGGGUUUAAAACCCUAAUGCUGACUAAAGGAAAAAUUCAGUUCAGGGUUUAAAACCCUAAUGCUGAUUGCAUGGAAAAGCUCAGUUUAGGGUUUAAAACCCUAAUGCUGGCUGAAAGGAAAGAGUUCAGUUUAGGGUUUAAAACCCUAAUGCUGAUUAAAGGAAAAAUGUCAGUUUAGGGUUUAAAACCCUAAUGCUGACUGCAUGGAAAAGCUCAGUUUAGGGUUUAAAACCCUAAUGCUGGCUGAAUGGAAAAAAGUUCAGUUUAGGGUUUAAAACCCUAAUGCUGACUAAAGGAAAAAUUCAGUUUAGGUGUUUAAAACCCUAAUGCUG
rnacentral:lncRNA from 1 species